GGAUAGCUCCAAAGGCCCAACACGGCACCAGCAGCUGACGGCACCGCGCCCCACAAGAACCACCACCAGCAGCAGGUGCAUGUGUUCCUCGCUCCACAGGCUCUGGCUCUCCCUCCGCGCUCUUCUAGUGCGAUAGGUUGUUGCACGUUUUGCAGCUCCCCCUCCUCUUCAGUUUUUCCUCAUCACCGUGGUGGCCACUUGUCCUCUCUCCUAUCAGCAGGGCCAGAGCCAGAUAGUUUAGUCCUCGCCUCCAUCUUCGUCUUCUUCGUUGCCAUCGUCGUCGUCGUCGUCAUCCUCCACGCUCUCUUCUCGGGAUUAGGGAGGAACCACCGAGGGCUGAAGCUGCUGCCUGUUCAACGGCUGAAGGAUACCGAGGCUACUGCCUUCUGAGUUUCUGAAGAAUAAGGCGCAUCUCUUCUGUGCUACAAGAUCCAGUGGCGGACCAUGAUGAGCAACGUUAAGCUUGGUGUUGAGGUUGUCAGUGCUCACGAUCUCCUCCCGAAAGAACAGGGCACAGCCAAUGCCUUUGUUGAAGUCGAGUUUGAUGACCAGAAGUUCCGCACAGCCAUCAAAGACAGGGACCUCAACCCUGUGUGGAAUGAGCAGUUCUACUUCAACAUAUCUGAUCCAUCCCGCCUCCCCGAGCUACACCUUGAGGCCUAUGUGUACCAUGCAAACCGUACCAACAAUUCCAAGGCCUGCCUUGGCAAGGUUCGCAUAUCGGGUACAUCCUUUGUCAGCCAACCAGAUGCCUCACCCCUGCACUACCCCCUGGAGAAGCGCAACAUCUUAUCGCGCGCACGUGGUGAGCUUGGACUAAGGGUCUUCCUUACAAAUGAUCCAUCAGUAAGGGUGUCUGCACCAGGUCCGGAAUUCGAUAUGUUAAGCACAUCUAGCACUGCGCAAGAGCAGGAAGCGGCCAACUCCAUUCCAAAUCCUUUCCAAGAGACCAGACCAAAUCCAGUGAGACAAUUACAGCACUUGCCAAGAGAACAGCAGCGUCCGGCACCAAUGGGACAAGCAUACUACAAUGAAGGUUCAUACGGAGACCCGCAACAAAGAAGCUUUUCUGCAAUUGCAAAUAAAGCUGGAGCCCCUCCGCCUCAGGUAUCAAGGAUGUAUGCUCCAGGUUCACAGCAACCUAUCGACUUCCAGCUGAAGGAGACAAGCCCAACGCUUGGUGGUGGCCGUGUUAUUGGCGGUCGGGUGUAUCCUGGUGAGAAGGCCGGGGCUUACGACCUUGUUGAGAAGAUGCAGUACCUCUUUGUGCGAGUGGUCAAGGCCCGCGACCUGCCCAACAUGGACAUCACUGGGAGUCUUGACCCUUUUGUCGAGGUGCAUCUUGGAAACUACAAAAUGAAAACAAAGUAUUUUGAGAAGAAUCAGAAGCCCGAAUGGGAUGAGGUGUUUGCAUUCCCCAAAGAAGUCAUGCAGUCAACAACACUUGAAGUUGUUGUGAAGGACAAGGAUGUCAUUCGGGAUGACUAUGUCGGUCGAGUGAGUCUUGACCUGAAUGAGGUCCCUGUAAGGGUCCCUCCUGACAGCCCAUUGGCGCCAGAGUGGUAUCGUCUUGUGGGAAAGGAUGGCAUAAGGGACAGAGGAGAGCUGAUGCUUGCAGUCUGGUAUGGUACUCAAGCAGAUGAAUGCUUCCCAAGCGCCAUCCAUGCAGGAUCAACACCAGUUGAUUCCCAUCUUCACAACUAUAUCCGUGGGAAGGUCUACCCUGCACCAAGAAUGUGGUACGUGAGGGUCAAUGUAAUUGAGGCACAGGAUAUAUUCCCAAUGGAGAACCACAUACCUGAUGUAUUUGUAAAAGUGAGGCUGGGCCACCAAUUGUUGAAGACAAGGCAAGUUCGGUCACCAACCAAAAACUUCAUGUGGAAUGAAGAGAUGAUGUUUGUCGCAGCAGAGCCUUUUGAGGAAGACUUGAUCAUAACAAUAGAAGACCGUGUAGCACAAAACAAAGAUGAGGUGAUUGGUGAAGUUAUGAUACCACUAACAAGGAUUCCAAAGCGGGCUGAUCACAAGCAGUACGGCCAGCAUGGUUUGAUCUGAGAAGACCAGGAUUGAUUGAUGCGAACCAGCUAAAGGAAGACAAAUUCUAUGCAAAGGUAAAACCUCCGUAUUUGCCUUGAAGGUGGUUAUCAUGUGCUUGAUGAGUCCACACAAUUGCAGUGAUCUCCGGCCAACAAUGAAACAGUUGUGGAAGCCACCAAUUGGCAUGCUUGAAGUUGGCAUUUUAAGUGCACAUGGUCUCAAUCCAACAAAAACCAGAAAUGACGAGGGUCAUGUGAUGCAUAUUGUGUUGCCAAGUAUGGUUCAAAAUGGGUGCGGACACGCACAAUCGUUGACAACUUGAGCCCUCGAUUCAAUGAGCAGUACACAUGGGAAGUUUAUGAUCAUGGAACUGUACUCACAAUUGGUCUGUUUGACAACUGCCACAUAAGUGGAGACAGUAACCAUGGCUCCCAAGGCCAUAUGGAUAAACCCAUUGGGAAAGUGCGAAUUCGGCUUUCAACACUUGAGACUGGGCGGGUGUACACACAUACAUACCCAUUGCUUGUCCUGCACCCAUCAGGAGUUAAAAAGAUGGGCGAACUCCACCUUGCCAUCCGGUUCUCAGCCACAUCCCUGAUCAAUGUGCUCUUUACAUACUCUAGGCCCCUCUUGCCCAAGAUGCAUUACACACAGCCUCUGUCAAUAGUCCAGCAGGAAAUGCUUCGCCACCAGGCUGUGCAGCUUGUUGCGCAGCGCCUGGGGCGCAUGGAGCCACCAGUUCGCAGGGAAGUUGUUGAGUUCAUGUCAGAUGCUCGCUCUCACCUGUGGAGCAUGCGACGGAGCAAAGCUAAUUUCUUCCGUCUUAUGCAAGUUUUCUCUGGAGUCAUUGCUGCAGGAAAGUGGUUCGGCGAUGUUUGUCAGUGGAACAACCCAGUCACCACAGUAUUGGUUCAUGUGCUCUUUGUCAUGCUUGUGUUCUAUCCAGACCUUAUCCUGCCAACAAUCUUCCUCUACAUGUUCUUGAUAGGGCUGUGGAAUUACCGGUUCCGACCACGCUUCCCACCACACAUGAACACAAGAAUAUCUUAUGCUGAUGUUGCCCUUCCAGAUGAGCUUGAUGAGGAAUUUGACACAUUCCCAACCUCAAAAAGCCCAGAUCUAAUUAGGAUGAGGUAUGAUAGGUUACGACAUGUUGCUGGGAGAAUUCAGACAGUUGUUGGAGACAUAGCCACUCAGGGAGAGAGGUUACAGUCACUGCUGAGCUGGAGGGACCCAAGGGCAACAGCUAUGUUCCUAAUAUUUUGCCUGAUCACAGCCAUUAUACUAUAUGUGACACCAUUCCAAGUGAUUGCACUCUGCCUUGGGUUCUUCUGGAUGAGGCAUCCUCGAUUUCGCCACAAGGUGCCGUCUGCACCAGUAAACUUCUUCAGGAGGCUACCUGCAAAGACAGAUUCAUUGCUGUAAAGUUCCAUGGAGAACAGCUAUUGAUGGUAUCUAAUGUACCACUCUGUAUGUGUUUCUUGUGUCCUAUUUAUUGUUGUAUAAUAGUAUUAAGUGAGAUAAAAUGCAAUUUGCUGCUUCAUGUGACAGAACAAACUAAGUCAAUUUCGUCAGGUAACUUCCAAGCCUUAGAAGUUAAGAAUAUAUUUAAACUUUUGUAUAUCAUGAAAUGUAUGUAAGAUGUCUGAUUCAACAACAGUUUCUCCAAUGAGUCAAAAUUUUCAUGCUGGGA